rnacentral:rRNA from 1 species
AGCGAACGCUGGCGGCAGGCCUAACACAUGCAAGUCGAACGAACCCUUCGGGGUUAGUGGCGGACGGGUGAGUAACACGUGGGAACGUGCCUUUAGGUUCGGAAUAACCCAGGGAAACUUGUGCUAAUACCGAAUGUGCCCUUCGGGGGAAAGAUUUAUCGCCUUUAGAGCGGCCCGCGUCUGAUUAGCUAGUUGGCGAGGUAAUGGCUCACCAAGGCUACGAUCAGUAGCUGGUCUGAGAGGAUGACCAGCCACAUUGGGACUGAGACACGGCCCAAACUCCUACGGGAGGCAGCAGUGGGGAAUCUUGCGCAAUGGGCGAAAGCCUGACGCAGCCAUGGCGCGUGGAUGAUGAAGGUCUUAGGAUUGUAAAAUCCUUUCACCGGUGAAGAUAAUGACUGUAGCCGGAGAAGAAGCCCCGGCUAACUUCGUGCCAGCCGCCGCAGUAAGAC